GGUCAAUGGACGAACAGCCUCGUUUCCUACAUUGCCGAGUAAGUGAUGAGAGCCUUAAGAGAUAAAAUGUUCUUCUCCCCCGGGGAUAGUAAAUCCCACUACCGGGAGACUGAGCUCAGGCUAACCCCCGCGCCCAGCAGCCCGUGUUUAUUACGGAGGGAGCUGGUAUUUUUCCGUAUUUAGGGGGCGUAACGCGCACGUAGGCCGGUUUAGUAAGUUAGAGGUGCAAGCAUGUAUCUCACCCACCUGAACCGCCUUUAAGAGCGCCUCGGCUCACAUCCAGGAGAGGUGAGAGGAAUUCCGAGUGUAGCGGAGAAAGUAGAAGAUAUUCGGAAGAACACCAGUGGAGAAGGCGGCUCACUGGACUGGUAUUGUCGCUGAGGUGAGAAAGCGUGGGGAGCAAACAGGAUUAGAUACCGUGGUAGUCCACUCUGUAAACGAUGAUAAAUAGCUGUCCGGGGACUUGGUCUUGGGGUGGCGCAUUUUACGCAUUAAGUUAUCCUCCUGGGGAGUACGGCCGCAUGGUUAAAACUCAAAUGAAUUGACGGGGGCCUGCACAAGCGGUGGAGCAUGUGGUUUAAUUCGAAGCAACGCGCAGAACCUUACCAGCGUUUGACAUGGUAGGACGGCUUCCAGAGAUGGAUUCCUUCCCUUCGGGGACCUACACACAGGUGCUGCAUGGCUGUCGUCAGCUCGUGUCGUGAGAUGUUGGGUUAAGUCCCGCAACGAGCGCAACCCUCGCCUUUAGUUACCAUCAUUCAGUUGGGUACUCUAAAGGAACCGCCGGUGAUAAGCCGGAGGAAGGUGGGGAUGACGUCAAGUCCUCAUGGCCCUUACGCGCUGGGCUACACACGUGCUACAAUGGCAACUACAGUGGGCAGCAAUCCCGGGAGGGUGAGCUAAUCUCCAAAAGUUGUCUCAGUUCGGAUUGUUUUCUGCAACUCGAGAGCAUGAAGGCGGAAUCGCUAGUAAUCGCGGAUCAGCACGCCGCGGUGAAUACGUUCCCAGGCCUUGUACACACCGCCCGUCACACCAUGGGAGUUGGAUUCACCCGAAGGCGUUUCUGCUAACCCUGCAACGGAGGCAGGCGA
rnacentral:rRNA from 1 species